rnacentral:rRNA from 1 species
CCUACGGGUGACAGCAGUGAGGAAUAUUGGUCAAUGGACGCAAGUCUGAACCAGCCACGCCGCGUGCAGGAAGACGGCUCUAUGAGUUGUAAACUGCUUUUGUACGAGGGUAAACGCAGAUACGCGUAUCUGUCUGAAAGUAUCGUACGAAUACGGAUCGGCUAACUCCGUGCCAGCAGCCGCGGUAAUAGAGAGGGUUCAAGCGUUAUCCGGAUUUAUUGGGUUUAAGGGGUGCGUAGGCGGUCGGAUAAGUUAGAGGUGAAAUCCCGGGGCUCAACUUCGGAAUUGCCUCUGAUACUGUGCGGCUAGAGAGUAGUUGCGGUAGGCGGAAUGUAUGGUGUAGCGGUGAAAUGCUUAGAGAUCAUACAGAACACCGAUUGCGAAGGCAGCUUACCAAGCUACUUCUGACGUUGAGGCACGAAGGCGUGGGGAGCAAACAGGAUUAGAUACCCCAGUAGUC